rnacentral:lncRNA from 1 species
UGUUUCCAUUUAACUAGGCUUUCUUCCAUGAGACAUGAGCCUUUCUUAAUCCAACGAGUGUCCAAGAUAAACUCAGGUUGCAUGAUGAUAUCCCCAGUAUCAUUAGUUAAGGGUAGUUCUUCGGUUAGAGAGUCAGACGUGCUCAAUUUCUUAUGUAUGAGGGAGACAUAGAACAUAAGAUGAAUACGUGAUGUGCAGGUAGAUUGAGUUUGUAAGCCACUGGACCAAUUUUUUCAAUAAUUUGGUAAGGACCAUAGAAGUGACAUGCGAGUUUUUGAAAAGCCUUUUUAAAAGUAGGUUGCCGACAUUAAGGUUGUAGUUUAAGGAAUACCCAAUUGUCUUACUAAAAUUCAAUAUCACGGCCCUUAGCAUUCACAACCUGUUGCAUGUGGUUGGAAAUAGUUUAG